GACGGAGGGGGCAAGCGUUGUUCGGAAUUAUUGGGCGUAAAGGGCUCGUAGGCGGACCGGUGUGUCUGGCGUGAAAUCUCCACUGCUUAACAGGGAGGGGCCGCUGGAAACUGCCGAUCUUGAGUACGGUAGAGGACCAUGGAAUUCCGGGUGUAGCGGUGGAAUGCGUAGAUAUCCGGAAGAACACCGGUGGCGAAGGCGGUGGUCUGGACCAAAACUGACACUGAGGAGCGAAAGCCAGGGGAGCAAACGGG
rnacentral:rRNA from 1 species